UUAGAUUCUGGUGAUAUGAUGUAUCACCUGCCCUGAUAUGGGAGUCAGCCUGGCCUGUGUCCCAAGCCAGGGAACCAUUAUGGAGGAAGACCUGUACCCCAACCCCAGGCCUAGGCAGGCACCUGUUUGAUUUUGUGGCAAUCCCAGUUGCUGUACCCAGGAGUUGUGGGAUUGUCCCUGUUAAUGCCUUAUAAAUAUUCCCGACCCUCAUUUUCCAGUGUCGUCGCCACUCCCAGCCCCUAGAAUGUUCCCCCUUCCCUGUAUCCCCACUGGCCCUCGUUUGAUGCAGUGUCCCACCCAGCCUACCCCAUUGGACCCUACCUCCCCUCACUCCACCUCUGCACCACUUUCCCCCGUGCCCAUUGCCCUAACCUCAACUCCACCCCCUUUCCCACCCCACAUCUAUACCCCGGACCGCCCUCCGUCUUGGUCUUUGACCUUGGGCUCCUGCUUGGGUUGUUGUUGGGUUUUUGGCCCUCGUCCCUCAUCUGUUUUCACUAUUAUUAAAUUAUUUUUACGUUGCAAGUUGAGGUCGUUGUACCGCUCUUCUUUAUUUUUCCACCUUAGCCCAAGUAUCGUGGAACCCUCAGAAGUGUUGCUGGGGACCGCCCUCAGCCCCGACGAUGGCGCCCGAGUCCAGCUCCUGGCACUCGGGGCUCCUGGUCCCGGCAGUAGGACAGCGUCCCCUGGGCUGUGGCGGUGCCGGCGCCCAGCGGACACGUCGACAGGGAGGGACCUCGACCGGACACCCGGGAAUUCGGCGAGGACGUCGACGGGGACACGUGUGGAGUGCAGAGAAAAAGCCGCAAACACAAGCGAGGCAACAAUUCAAGCCAAAUUAGAACGGAGCCACAUUUCCCAAAUGCGCUGCGUUUCUUGGUCUGAAAUCCCUAACAAACUGUUCCUGAGUACGUAGCAGAGCAAAAAAGAAGAGAGACCACAAGAAGAAGGAACAAAAGACUAAUUGAAGGGACUUGCCUUAAAAUGAGAGCUCUUGUAUUGAGACUGCUUGUUGUCACAAGUUUGGUUCAAAUUAUUAGUUUUGUAAUUAUCGUUGUCGUUAAUUGUUCCUUGUUUGUUCGGAUGUUAGUUUUGUAAUUAACGUUGUCGUUAAUUGUUCCUUGUUUGUUCGGAUGUUUGUUUUUACAGAGUUUUACAAAAAUCAUUCCAUUUUGUUUUUAUAGUUAAAAAGGGGGGAAAUGUGGGAGUCAGCCUGGCCUGUGUCCCAAGCCAGGGAACCAUUAUGGAGGAAGACCUGUACCCCAACCCCAGGCCUAGGCAGGCAUCUGUUUGAUUUUGUGGCAAUCCCAGUUGCUGUACCCAGGAGUUGUGGGAUUGCCCAUGUUAAUGCCUUAUAAAUAUUCCCAACCCUCAUUUUCCAGUGUUGUCACCACUCCCAUCACCUAGAAUAUUCUUCCUUCUUUGUAUCCCCACUGGCCUUCAUUUGAUGCAGUGUCCCACCCAGCCUACCCCAUUGGACCCUACCUCCCCUCACUCCACCUCUGCACCACUUUCCCCUGUGCCCAUUGCCCUAACCUCGACUCCACCCCCUUUCCUGCCCCACAUCUAUACCCCGGACCUCCCUCCAUCUUGGACUCCUAGUCGGGUUGUUGUUCUGUUUUUGGGCCUCGUCCCACAUCUGUUUUCACUAUUAUUAAAUUAUUUUUAUGUUGCAAGUUGAGGUCGUUGUACCGCUCUUCUUUAUUUUUCCAGCUUAGCCCAGAUAUCAGUAGAACCCUAAGAAGUGGUGUUGGGGACCGCCCUCAGCCCCCCACACCCUGAUACCUUCAGUAGCAAAGACUGAGCUGAACUUCUUCACAGUCUCACAUCUCAAGAACAGAAAUAGAACUGUGUUUUCUUGUUUCCACAAAACAGUUUUUUACACCUUUCUCAUAGUCCUCAAGUGUAAGGAGAAAAAAUGAUGGGCAUUUUCUGUGUCUACACAGGAGUACAUCCUGUCACAAUUGAACUCACAGGCACAUCUUGAUGAAGG
rnacentral:lncRNA from 12 species